rnacentral:rRNA from 1 species
UUCGUGCCAGCAGCCGCGGUAAUACGAAGGGACCUAGCGUAGUUCGGAAUUACUGGGCUUAAAGAGUUCGUAGGUGGUUGAAAAAGUUAGUGGUGAAAUCCCAGAGCUUAACUCUGGAACUGCCAUUAAAACUUUUCAGCUAGAGUAUGAUAGAGGAAAGCAGAAUUUCUAGUGUAGAGGUGAAAUUCGUAGAUAUUAGAAAGAAUACCAAUUGCGAAGGCAGCUUUCUGGAUCAUUACUGACACUGAGGAACGAAAGCAUGGGUAGCGAAGAGGAUUAGAUACCCUCGUAGUCCAUGCCGUAAACGAUGUGUGUUAGACGUUGGAAAUUUAUUUUCAGUGUCGCGGCGAAAGCGAUAAACACACCGCCUGGGGAGUACGACCGCAAGGUUAAAACUCAAAUGAAUUGACGGGGA